AUAACGUUUGAUUAUCACAAAGCAAACUAUUCUUUCGCCUUUUACUAAAGAAUAUCGAGUACUUGUCACUUGGAAGGUAUUUAUGCAAAUGUAUCACUUCUGCUGAUAACAACAUUUUUGUUGAA
rfam:Glycine max cultivar Williams 82 chromosome 18, whole genome shotgun sequence.